CUACUUGUGGCCAGCGGCUAGAGAAGGUCAUUGGAACUGAGCACACAGACAUUAUUCGUGUUCCAUUCAGAAAUGAGAAUGGUAUUCUCCGCAAGUGGAUCUCUCGUUUUGAUGUCUGGCCAUACCUGGAGACAUACACUGAGGUAUACAGACUAAUUUUCUUACUGGAUGUCGUACACAACCUAGAUUUUUCUGUUAAUACUGAAGUCAUGCAUUCUGUGCUACAGGAUGUUGCCAGUGAAAUCAUGAAAGAAAUGCAGGCCAAGCCUGACCUUAUUAUUGGCAACUACAGUGAUGGCAACCUAGUUGCCACUCUGCUUGCGCACAAGCUGGGAGUUACUCAGGUCUGUUUGAUUGUACAUGAAGUAUCUUGAAAAUUCUUAAGUUUGCCCAGUGCUUAAGGUUUCGUUUUGUGCAUUCUUGCAGUGUACCAUUGCCCAUGCCUUGGAGAAAACCAAAUAUCCAAACUCAGACAUAUACUUGGACAAAUUCGACAGUCAGUAUCACUUCUCAUGCCAGUUCACAGCUGACCUUAUUGCUAUGAAUCACACCGAUUUCAUCAUCACCAGUACAUUCCAAGAAAUUGCGGGAAGGUAAUUUUUGUGUAUUUUAAUAACAGUUGGCCAUCACUAGGUAGCAGUAACUAAAUGAGCAUCUGAUGUGUGGUGUUGUUUUCGCAGCAAGGACACUGUUGGGCAAUAUGAGUCCCACAUUGCAUUUACCCUCCCUGGGCUCUACCGUGUUGUCCAUGGCAUUGAUGUUUUUGAUCCCAAGUUCAACAUCGUCUCUCCGGGAGCAGACAUGAGUGUUUACUACCCAUACACUGAAACUGACAAGAGACUCACUGCCUUCCACCCUGAGAUUGAGGAGCUCAUUUACAGCGAUGUUGAGAACUCUGAGCACAAGUGAGUACUGAACUUACUGAACUUACAGCCUAGGUCUUUCUACCUAUGAAGAUAUGCAGAGCAAUUUCCAUUUACAAUAAUUAACACCUGACAUUUGAGUGCACCUUUCAUUGCUUUGCAGGUUUGUCUUGAAGGACAAGAACAAGCCGAUCAUUUUCUCAAUGGCUCGUCUUGACCGUGUGAAGAACAUGACAGGCUUGGUUGAGAUGUAUGGUAAGAAUGCACGCCUGAGGGAAUUGGCAAACCUUGUGAUUGUUGCUGGUGACCAUGGCAAGGAGUCUAAGGACAGGGAGGAGCAGGCAGAGUUCAAGAGGAUGUACAGUCUCAUUGAUCAGUACAACUUGAAGGGCCAUAUCCGGUGGAUCUCAGCUCAGAUGAACCGUGUCCGCAAUGCGGAGUUGUACCGCUACAUUUGUGACACGAAGGGAGCAUUUGUUCAGGUAUGUAUACACACUUGAUCUAAUAAGUUACUUCCAAGUUCCUAUAAUGGUGCUCACUACUUUCAGAUAACAACAGCCAUAGAAUGUGUGCAGGACUGAAUUCAUGUAUCACUUUGUUUUUGUAGCCUGCAUUCUAUGAAGCGUUUGGCUUGACUGUUAUUGAGUCCAUGACAUGUGGUUUGCCAACAAUUGCUACCUGCCAUGGUGGCCCUGCUGAAAUCAUUGUGGACGGGGUGUCUGGUUUGCACAUUGAUCCUUACCACAGUGACAAGGCUGCAGAUAUCUUGGUCAACUUCUUUGACAAGUGCAAGGCGGAUCCAAGCUACUGGGACAAGAUUUCACAGGGAGGCCUGCAGAGAAUUUACGAGAAGUAUGUACUUUUUCUAUCCUGCUGUCUACAAUAAAGAUAUAAAUUGACAUGAACUGAAGAAAUUCAGAUAUUAUAGAGUAACAUGUGCUUGUUCAAUGAUGCCACAACAUAAAAAACUUUCCAUGAUGUAUUAGAUAUUUUUGUGUGGCUCUUCUCUAGCCGUGUAAGUCCAGAUACUAAAAGUUUUGGAUUGCUCAGGUACACCUGGAAGCUGU
rnacentral:lncRNA from 1 species